rnacentral:lncRNA from 1 species
GAGACGGCAAAACAGAACAGAAAGCUGGAGAUAAAAAGAGAGGUGUUAAAAGACCCCGGGAAGAUCAUGGCCGAGGAUAUUUUGAGUACAUUGAAGAAAACAAGUACAGCAGAGCCAAGUCUCCUCAGCCACCUGUUGAAGAAGAAGACGAACACUUCGAUGACACAGUGGUUUGUCUUGAUACUUGUAAGUGAGGCGGACUUUCCCGCUCUUUACUCGUUUUCAAGUGCAGUGUUAUUUUUUUGGUUUUAAGUGUUAGGAAAGAUGUGUGUUGAUCUUAAAGUGCAGAAAACCAGAACUUUGUUUUAAAGCAGGAAGGUAGUGGCUUAUGCUAAGGCCAUAACCGUUUAAUAUUAAUACCACUUCAUUUGUAUUGAUUUAUCAAGCUCUAGUGAUUGGUAAUAAUAGUUUUAUGAAUUGGAACUUCUCAGUACUUAGGGAUGUAAAACUAAAUAAUUUUCGUUUAGCUACCAGGAACUUGUAUUUUAAAAAUCUGCCUGUAACUUGUCCUUAGAUUAUAUAGUUUAAUCUUUUCUCUUGUGGAACUAUAUUAAGUGAGCUAAAUGGGGGUAGCUGAAUACUUACUAAUGAUCUUCCCAUUAGCACACAAGUGUAUUCCCUAUUCUAAGGAUUGUAAUAUUACCUUUCAAUAACUGCUCUUUUGUUCUCAAUUCCAGUUCAGUAGCUGCUGCUUUAACAUAAGUUGAUUUCUUCCAAAGACCUGGGGCAGCAGCAGUGGGCUAUCUGAGCCACUAGCUUUCUUCAGCAGCGAAUGGUAUCAAUGGCAGCGCUGUAAAUAUGCUACUUUACCCAGCUGGGUUGCAAUUGAAUAUG